rnacentral:tRNA from 1 species
CGCAGCGUAGAGCAACCCGGUAACUCAUCCGGCCCAUAACCAGAAGGUCGCGCGUUCGAAUCGUGCCGCUGCAACCA